CCUACGGGAGGCAGCAGUGAGGAAUAUUGGUCAAUGGGCGCAAGCCUGAACCAGCCAUGCCGCGUGCAGGAUGAAGCAUCUAUGGUGUGUAAACUGCUUUUGUACAGGAAGAAACACUCGUUCGUGAACGAGCUUGACGGUACUGUAAGAAUAAGGACCGGCUAACUCCGUGCCAGCAGCCGCGGUAAUACGGAGGGUCCAAGCGUUAUCCGGAAUCAUUGGGUUUAAAGGGUCCGUAGGCGGUUUAGUAAGUCAGUGGUGAAAGCCCAUCGCUCAACGGUGGAACGGCCAUUGAUACUGCUAGACUUGAAUUAUUAGGAAGUAACUAGAAUAUGUAGUGUAGCGGUGAAAUGCUUAGAGAUUACAUGGAAUACCAAUUGCGAAGGCAGGUUACUACUAAUAUAUUGACGCUGAUGGACGAAAGCGUGGGGAGCGAACAGGAUUAGAUACCCUGGUAGUCCACGCCGUAAACGAUGGAUACUAGCUGUUCGGAGCAAUCUGAGUGGCUAAGCGAAAGUGAUAAGUAUCCCACCUGGGGAGUCGUUCGCAAGAAUGAAACUUAAAUGAAAUUGACCGGNUGAGAGAGCGACGACGACGACGAGGGAGGAGG
rnacentral:rRNA from 1 species